CUCACUGCUAAUUUAGUUCCUCUGCCUGCAGCACCAAAUGAGUACUGCCAAGGGGAGAGAUUACCAAGUGUUCUCAUAGCAGAGUUGAAAAUCUUGGGACAGGACUGCAAACUCAAGAACAGAACAGCAAGAUAUCUGAAAUUUAGGAUGCUCAGUUCCAUCAUUCUAUCCAGUUUUUGGUCCACAUAGAAGACUGCAACCUACUACUGCUAUCAUUUACUGUUUCCUCAAGUAGCGGAGGUCUUAGCAGUGGAUCUUAAACAUUCCAACCUUGCUGAUGAAUGAUGUGGGAGACUCCUGUCUCAUCCAGUGCACAGUUUGGACCUGCUUUGUGAUGGAUCAUGGUUAUAUAGUAAAGAAGGAUGUGUGCAAGCACCUUGCCUCAUUUGUUGCAGACACUGGAAGGAGGCCUUUCAAAGGAAAUGUGGUAUUAAAAAAAGUCUCUGAAACCUUCAGUAUGUUGAAUGGGAUUAACAUCUUUAAGCAACACUUGUUGGGUCACUCCCUCCAAGCUUUUAC